rnacentral:rRNA from 1 species
AUGGCAUCGGCAGUAGGGGGCGGCAUUGACGGAGCAGCAGCGGGGACGACCAAGAAGAAGAAGAGAAUCUCCGACUGCCUCGUCGACAGCGACGGCGGAGACGAGGUGGCGGGGGAGGACGCCAUGCCGCCCUCGCCGCCUUCCCCCGGCACGCCGCGGCUGCGCAUCCCGGUGUUCACCUGCGCGCGGCUCCGGUUCGUCAGGCUCGGCAGGAAAGGCGGCGGCGGGCGGAAGGAUCAGGUCGCCGCCGAGAAGAGCGAGGCCGCGUCCACGGACUCCUCAGCAGCAGGAUGGAAAGCGCCGAGCAGCGGCGCGUCGCCGACGGAAACUGCCGGCAUGGGGCUGAGCCUGCUGUUCCUCCUCGCCAAGACAUGCGUAGAGCUAAACAAGAUGGCCGAGGUGCGCGCGGAGAUGGAGGCGCUCCUGCGGGAGAUGAGGGACCAGCUGGUGGUCAGGACGACGAAGGUCGGCACGACGACUGCUUCGCCGUGCCAGUGCCACGCUUCGUCCCGUACGCGCACGGACGGCCAAGACGCCGGCGCCACUUCUUCGUCUUCUCCCGAACCGGCGCGUCCUCGCCAUUUCCGUCGUGAUAAGCGCGCUGGACGGAAGCGGAGAGACGGGCCGUUCUACGCGCUGACAGGAAACCCGCUGUUCGACCUCGAGCGAGAACCGUGUGGCCGCGCUGCCGCCUCCUCUUCUGCCAUGGAGACCGCGAGCGAGACGUCGUCUGAAGUGGAGGACCCAUCGGGCUUCAUGGCUGGGGAGCAGUUUCAGCUCAACUGCCGCACCGAGCAAGGAACACCCGAGUCGUCGUCGGACGGGCAGUCGUUCAUCGAGCUGGAGGGGGGGUUCGGAGCCGGAGCCGGUAGAGGCGGCUACAGUGCAAGGCGGUGGCGAGAUUCAGAGGACGGACAGGGGGAGGAGGAGGAGGAGGAGGGGCGCGGCGACGAGGGGGUGUCGGCGGUGGAGCUGGAGAGGCGGCUGCAGGAGCUCCUGCACCGGAGGAGCCGGGAGCGGAUCGAGGAGCUGGAGGCGUCGCUGCGGCGCGCGGAGCGGAAGGUGAUGGAGAAGGAGAUGGAGGCGCGGCUGUGGAAGGACACCGCCAAGCUGGCGCUGCAGCCGGGCACGCGCGGCGGUACGGGGCAGUGA